AUUGAACGCUGGCGGCAGGCCUAACACAUGCAAGUCGAACGGUAGCACAGAGAGCUUGCUCUCGGGUGACGAGUGGCGGACGGGUGAGUAACGUCUGGGAAACUGCCCGAUGGAGGGGGAUAACUACUGGAAACGGUAGCUAAUACCGCAUAACGUCGCAAGACCAAAGGGGGGGACCUUCGGGCCUCACACCAUCGGAUGUGCCCAGAUGGGAUUAGCUAGUAGGUGGGGUAAUGGCUCACCUAGGCGACGAUCCCUAGCUGGUCUGAGAGGAUGACCAGCCACGCUGGAACGGAGACACGGUCCAGACUCCUACGGGAGGCAGCGGUAGGGAAUAUUGCACAAUGGGCGCAAGCCUGAUGCAGCCAUGCCGCGUGUAUGAAGAAGGCCUUCGGGUUGUAAAGUACUUUCAGCGGGGAGGAAGGCGGUGAAGUUAAUAACUUCACCGAUUGACGUUACCCGCAGAAGAAGCACCGGCUAACUCCGUGCCAGCCGCCGCGGUAA
rnacentral:rRNA from 1 species